rnacentral:lncRNA from 1 species
GAGAAGAAAGCUAAAGGAAGGAAAAAGGACCAAAAGUGUACAAAAACAUGACUUUGGGGACAAAAGUGUACAAAUGUCGAAAGUUCAGGGAUCUAGGGUCGCAAUUUUUUGGGGGUCAUUAUUGAAAAGGAAGUCAAAAUUUGAGGACCAAAAUGGAUAACAUAAAAGUUGAGGGACUGGACGUGCAAUUAUCCUUAGGAUCGAAGCUACAAAAAGAAAGAACUCUUCAGCGUCCUCCAAGUGCCAAGUUGUGCCAUAGAGCCUAGGCACCCCGUCUGCCGAGUUGGGGGACCUGAUUUGCUGUUUUUAAAAGAUUGGGACUAUUUUGCAAUUAAUUGGAACGAUUUUUGGCCUUUUUUAAAUGUUUAUCGAACCCUUUUCAUUGAUUCUUCCAUAUUUUAAAACCCUUGCCAAGAGAGAAACAUGAUAUGCAUCUUUGCAUCUUUCAUAAAGAUACAGAAAAGUCACACGAGAGGAUAUUUUUAGUCCACUCGGGAGAGAUUAUUAAACGAAUUAUGAUCAUUAAUCUUCAUAUCCAAAUAUG